rnacentral:tRNA from 29 species
UGGGGCGUGGCCAAGUGGUAAGGCAACGGGUUUUGGUCCCGGCAUUCGAAGGUUCGAAUCCUUCCGUCCCAG